UGGGGAAUAUUGCACAAUGGGCGCAAGCCUGAUGCAGCCAUGCCGCGUGUGUGAAGAAGGCCUCGGUUGUAAAGCACUUUCAGCGAGGAGGAAGGUGGUGAGCUUAAUACGCUCAUCAAUUGACGUUACUCGCAGAAGAAGCACCGGCUAACUCCGUGCCAGCAGCCGCGGUAAUACGGAGGGUGCAAGCGUUAAUCGGAAUUACUGGGCGUAAAGCGCACGCAGGCGGUUUGUUAAGUCAGAUGUGAAAUCCCCGGGCUCAACCUGGGAACUGCAUUUGAAACUGGCAAGCUAGAGUCUCGUAGAGGGGGGUAGAAUUCCAGGUGUAGCGGUGAAAUGCGUAGAGAUCUGGAGGAAUACCGGUGGCGAAAGGCGGCCCCCUGGACGAAGACUGACGCUCAGGUGCGAAAAGCGUGGGGAGCAAAACAGGAUUAGAUACCCUGGUAGUCCACGCUGUAAAACGAUGUCGAUUUUGGAGGUUGUGCCCUUGAGGCGUGGCUUCCGGAGCUAACGCGUUAAAUCGACCGCCUGGGGAGUACGGCCGCAAGGUUAAAACUU
rnacentral:rRNA from 1 species